CAGCCGCCGCGGUAAUACGGAGGAUCCAAGCGUUAUCCGGAAUCAUUGGGUUUAAAGGGUCCGUAGGCGGUCUUGUAAGUCAGUGGUGAAAGCCCAUCGCUCAACGGUGGAACGGCCAUUGAUACUGCAGGACUUGAAUUAUUGGGAAGUAACUAGAAUAUGUAGUGUAGCGGUGAAAUGCUUAGAGAUUACAUGGAAUACCAAUUGCGAAGGCAGGUUACUACCAAUUGAUUGACGCUGAUGGACGAAAGCGUGGGUAGCGAACAGGAUUAGAGACCCCCGUAGUCCCUGUCUCUUAUAA
rnacentral:rRNA from 1 species